AAAGUGGUUUGUGAAAAGGACAGUUGCUUGGAAAUGAUCAAAUUUUAUUUUGAUGUGUGCUAGCUGCUGUGUAAACCUUCAAAAAUUCUCAUAAAGCAGGCCAUGAGAUGUAUCUAAAAACAAAACGAAACAAUACCCAACAACAAGAAAACAGAGCAGUGUAUUCCAAAACCUCUAUCUUGGUUUGUCUCUGCUAUACCACUGUGGCUUCACUGUUUUUCCAGGAGUCACUGUUUCCACUGGAGAGACAGGAGGACAGCAAUCAUGUGGACAAAUGCAAGAUGGCUUGUGAGAAUGAAGACAAGUGAAAUGGAAACUCCCAGACCUGAGGGGAAAACAGAGCUCAGACAGAACAACUUUUCUCAAGCAAGUAUGCAUACAGCAGUAAGGAGCAGUGUGGAUCCAGAAGGCUCUGUGCACUACAACUCAGAACCACCUGGGGGUCCCACGAUGCUG